rnacentral:rRNA from 1 species
UACGUAGGGGGCAAGCGUUGUCCGGAUUUAUUGGGCGUAAAGAGCGUGUAGGCGGUUAGGUAGGUCCGUUGUGAAAACUCGAGGCUCAACCUCGAGACGCCGAUGGAAACCAUCUGACUAGAGUCCGGAAGAGGAGAGUGGAAUUCCUGGUGUAGCGGUGAAAUGCGCAGAUAUCAGGAAGAACACCCGUGGCUAAGGCGGCUCUCUAGUACGGUACUGACGCUGAGACGCGAAAGCGUGGGGAGCGAAUAGG